ACUCUCAACAUGCUACGCUAGCUAGUUCCUAGCCUGAAGCCUGCACUAGGAACCAGAACGGACCCCUUCUCCUCCUCAUCCACUUCCACUCCACCUAUGUCCUAGAAGGACACAUGCCUCGAGCAAGAUUUGAAUGAGAAACAUUCUUCCUCUACUCGCACCAAACAGGAGAUGUUUUCAUCAUGUGAUUUCCCGUUUGCUAUAUUUUUAUGUGGUAGAUCACAACGUGAAUGGCAUGGAUCACAUCCCAGUUAGCAGAACUGCAAAAAAAAAAGGUGGGGGAACUGGAGCCAGUAAUUUGAACUAGAGACUCACUGGUCACAGAGCUUCUGAAACUGGAAGUAAAUUAUAUGGGAGCUCCUUGAAAACUCUUGAUGAACUCUGGCUUUGUGCAGACACCUAGAAAAGGUGGAACACACAAACCAAUCUCCCAGACUUCAGUCAUCACAACUUGUAUAUCUUCUGUGACCAUUUAUGAAUUCAAUAUUUUGUUGUUGUUGAUUGUUUUUGGUGGUGUCUUUUGUUGGUGGUGGUGGUGGGUUUUUAUUAUUUUUGUUUGUUUGUUUUACAUUUUGCACAUUCUUUGUUGUGGGGACUGGGUCACUGGCACUGGAAAUUUUCACAGGCUUCUUUUGCAAAAUAGCCAUUGUCGGAAAAUCACAACUGUCAAUCAGCACUGUGCACCAGAUGCAGAAUGUGGCUACUGGAUUAAUUCAGGUGGUACGGGGAUUUUCGAGAUUUUCAAUCUGAAUUAAUCUAUUUGAAAUAAGUUUUCUUUCCCCCCAGUGUCACAAACUAAAAUGAUGCAAGUGCAAAAUCUCUGUAGUAAAUUAGCGAUAAAAGAAUAAAACUGUUAAACGAAUAUAUUUUUCAUGCUUGAGGGCUGUGUGUUUAACAGUUUUCUAACUAUUCAUUCAUUUAUAUAAAAAUACUUCAGUUAUUAUCUACUUGAGUUGAAAUUAGAUAUUUAAUUGACUGGAGGGAAUGAAAUCCGCUCACUUUUAAAUAAGGCAAUGAUUUAAAAAUAUUCCUGUAAAGUGAUUUGUAAGACCACACCAGCACUAGUUCUUGGCACACGUCCUUGUCUGUGUAUAUAUUUUAAAAGCAUGGUUGUUUUUACAAAUGUAGUACUGUGAGAGCUAACUUCUUCAGAAACAUGUUUAUCUUAAUUAGGAAAGUCAACAGACUUCUAAUGGGAAGAAAUGGGUAUUUUUCUCUGUGGUAUCUAAAGCAUCAAAGGCCUCGUUCUCAUGCCAAACCAAUCUUCCUUCCUGCCUGCCUUUCAAACCCAGGUGAUUGCAGACAGCUGAGCAGACAUUUUCCCAAAAGCUUCUAUUGACCUGGCUCCAGUCCUUUCCCGUGCUCUGUCUCCUUUUCUAUCCGCAUGUCACUUCUCUUUCUCUUUCUGUGUAUUUGUUGUAUUUUUGCCUGAGGAAACCUAGGGAUAUUCAUGGCACUGAGGCAAAUAAUGUGGAAUUAAAAACUAAAUUCUUCAGGCCUUAUCCUAGCAACAGGACCAUCACCAUCUGUUCAGAGGACAGGACUGCCAUUAUCCGCUGCAUUCUUUGUACGUACUCCAUCACCUGUGAGGGGAAAAACAUUGCCCCUUAUCCUGGGGUCUUUGUUUAAAAACAAAGUCGUCUGCUUCUUUCUGGUACCAAUACAUUUCAUAAAUGUGAUAUACAGUACAUUUAAAGGGAUUAGACAUCAAGAAAAGCCUUAAAAGCAUUAAAAAAAAAAAUACAGACAGUAAGGAAAGACAUCUGCAUGAUAAACAACAAAAGCAAAUAUUAUUUAAUUUAAAUAAACAGUGGAGAUUCAUUUGUAAAAGUUCAUACAAAUUCCUCAGUCUACUACCAUUUUCAGGAACUAUACAUUUGACUUUGGGAUCAUUUUACAACAGCAGCAGAAUUGUUUUUAAGUUUUUUUUUUAAUUUAAACACCUAAUUUAAAAUCUGCAUUCCCCUAUGUGCUGUGAAGGCCAUUUGUGCUUCUCACCAGCACAUCUCCAGCUAAAGUCCCAAAAUACAGCAACAAUAUCUAACAAGCUUCACACCUUUUGUGUGGUAAACUUCGUAAAGUUUAUCAGAGAGUUAAAAUACUGUAUACAUUAAAGUCAUCUUUUUCCAUUCUUUAUGGAAUAUGCUCUUUUUUCCUAAUUUCUGUCCUCUCUGUACAUUUGAAUAAGGGAAAGAGUGAAUGAGUGAGGUAAUGUAAAAAUUAUUGAAUUUAAAAAAUAAAAUAAAAUCCUGGAAAUCAGAGGCAACAAUCUUGACCUCAUAUUAUGUUUUCAGUUAAAAAAUGUAAUUUAUAAAAUCUGGUUGAGUGGCUGUCUUUGUUGUUUUUACGCCGCUCAUAAACAAAGCUGCAGUCAUAUUAAUUUCUCAGCACUUACAGACACAUUUGUGGUAUGUAACUUGGCAACAUAAAUUGGUAAAAUCUGCCUGCUCCUACCAAAUCUGCAAAGUCCCAUCUUGUGCAGCCACCAAUCUGAAAAUCAGGGGUGUCAUGUCCCCUCCUGCCAGGUGGAGAGCAGGGCAGAGUACUGGAGCUGGGGGCAGGUGGGCUUCAGCCUCACCUCCCUCCUCCUCUCCUCAGGAUGCCAGCAGCAACUGCCAAGAACAGGAGGAACAAAUUCAGUGCAAACACAGCAUGUUUGUCCAAAUGGAUGGAAAGCCAUAGCCUUAACAACUCCCUCUUCCCUUUGCCAUAUUUCUCAUCCCCUUUUUCCACAGCCUUUUUCCCCCCAUUCUAAUUCCAUUGCUCAUCUUGUUUGUUCCUGCUUUGUUGCAGGCUGGGGGUCUGACAAGUGGAAGCUGCUCCUCUAAUUAGUGGAUCACAGCACUACUCAAUGGGACAAGAGCUGUCCUACAUGGGCACUUGAUAAAACCUGAGCAGAGUGUGGACCAAACACCUUCUUCCUUUCGAGUUAAAACUCAUCUCCAUUCAGUUCAUUUCUCACAGGCAUUUACAUGGACUGAGAAUACAGACAAAUCCAAGGGAAGAUAAGAAGAAGUGACCUACAAUUUAAAAACUGGUUAAAAGUCGCCCUAGGCUACUAAUUAGUUGCAUUAAGAACUUUCACUCCUUGGUCAGGCAGGGAUAAUGGUUUGGCUUGGCCAAGUCAAUACCCAAACUUAAGGGAGCAAGGUGGACAAAAACAGAAAUUAAGAAAUUCUUCUGUUGCUAGGGAUUUCAAAUAAGUUGUACUUUGGAAA